UUUGUCCUGUCUAGGUACUACAUCUGUGGCUGCUGUGUCACAUGUGUGUCAGUAAGUGAUAGAGAGGAACUAUGCUACAUCGUAGGUGUUCUGACAUAUGAACAUCUGAAUGAUUAGUAAUCUAAUAUU